AAAAUGCGAUAAGUAAUGUGAAUUGCAGAAUUCAGUGAAUCAUCGAAUCUUUGAACGCACAUUGCGCCCGCCAGUAUUCUGGCGGGCAUGCCUGUUCGAGCGUCAUUUCAACCCUCAAGCCCCCGGGUUUGGUGUUGGGGAUCGGCGAGCCCUUGCGGCAAGCCGGCCCCGAAAUCUAGUGGCGGUCUCGCUGCAGCUUCCAUUGCGUAGUAGUAAAACCCUCGCAACUGGUACGCGGCGCGGCCAAGCCGUUAAACCCCCAACUUCUGAAUGUUGACCUCGAAUCAGGUAGGAAUACCCGCUGAACUUAA
rnacentral:rRNA from 1 species